rnacentral:rRNA from 1 species
GGCGAACGCUGGCGGCGUGCCUAAUACAUGCAAGUCGAACGAACUCUGGUAUUGAUUGGUGCUUGCAUCAUGAUUUACAUUUGAGUGAGUGGCGAACUGGUGAGUAACACGUGGGAAACCUGCCCAGAAGCGGGGGAUAACACCUGGAAACAGAUGCUAAUACCGCAUAACAACUUGGACCGCAUGUUCCGAGUUUGAAAGAUGGCUUCGGCUAUC